ensembl:lincRNA
CUCUCCAGCAAAGGUCUGGGACAAAGAGUUUCAUGCACUUUUAAAAAAGAAAGCAGUUAUCACUGGCAACCAACAUGGGUUUAUUAUGAUGUCCUGUUAAAUAAGCAUGUUACUUUUCUUUAAACAGGUUGCUCUAAAUCAGACGAAGGCUGUUCAACUUCAUCAUAGCAAGUGUUACUGAGAGCCCUCUACCCUUCAGGUGCAGAGGGAGGGGACCCAUAGGUCCUUGGCAUUGUGGUUGAAGGAAAGGAUUUAACAAAGCCAUGCACAAUACCCUGCUGCGAGGCGGACCCGAGUCCAGGAGGUGCGCAGUAGAUUGGCAUGGAGCUCGGCCCUGGCUCUGGUCUGUUCUCCCCCUUCCCCCACCCAAACAAACCCAGAAGUGAUUUAGUAGAAGAAAAUUGGAUGGUUCCGCUUAGCAGUUACAUAGCUUACCUUGCUAGGAUGAGUUUGAGAAGACUCAGAAAGAUAUGGAAAAGUUGUGCAGGUCCUAGAUGUCCAUGAGAUGCACAAGAAUUAACAGCCACGAGGCGGGGCGGGAAUGGUCCCGCUGAGAUGGAGGAGGAGCCAUGGACGCCGGGGGCUCUAAGGCAGCACAAGGGGAGCCCCCAGACCAGGUGAUGAAAGAGGUCUGGGAAACUGUUCUGAGUGCCGAAGUCGAAUGUCAGGCUGGGGAAGGGAAAAAGCAUGAGUGAUUGGGUGAAUAUUCUCCAAUGCAUGCAGACUUAUCUCAAGUCACCCUGGUCUGCCUGUCCUCAGUUUAGUUCCUUGUCCUUUCCCUAGGUCGUGUGGCAGAGGCAUUGACCCUACAGACUGUGUUUGCCUGGCUCCAUCAGGGGCUCUGGCUGAAGACUCGAGGGCCAGGGAAGGAAAAGCAAUCGAUCCCAGGUCCUCUACCCCUGAAUUCCGGCACCUUGAUGAGGAGCUGUGUGUCCUCUGGCUGUCUCCCAUCCAGUGGCCCAGCCCCUGGGCUCCAGUAGCCUCCAGAAUGGUAUUUGUCAUGGCAGCCCAAGGAGACCUGUGCACACGAGGCCCUAGACUCUGUAGAUCCACGCAGCUUGCAGUCACCAUGCCUUUUGAAGCUGCUGUGCACCCAUUUAAACCAAGCCCAGAACUUUUCACCUCAUGUUUGGCACCAGGAAGACACCCUGUAAGCCUCUUAUAUUUGCUAAGUUUUUAUCACAAGUUUGGUUGCAUGGUACCACAUUUAUGGGUGGUUAUAUAAAGGAUGUGGCAGCGGAUCAUCUUUCCCAAGGAUGGCGCAGCAGUAUGGCCGUCCACGUGCGUCGCUACAGUGUGAACUCCACACGCCUCCGAGAGAGAAGAGGAGCCUGCAUCCUUGCUCCUUGACUCUGGGUCGGCCGUGACUUGCUGAAAAGAAGUUCGUGUAACUUCUGAGGCUGUGACUCCUCAGGCAAGGCCGAGGAGCUUUUGGCUGGCCCUCUGGGAUGCUCAGCUUUGGACACCUGAUGGGUUGUGUGGGAAUUCUGACCGCUCUGAGCCACCGUGAGGUGAGACCACUGUGGCCGUGUGAGGGCCGUGUGUGAGGGUUCUGGUCUCAGCUGACUGCUGCAGCCAUUGCUAGACAUGAGCAUGGAGCAGCCAUGUGUCCCUGUCACCCAAACUCCAGGCCCAUAAAAUGGUAAGCA